AUUGAACGCUGGCGGCAGGCCUAACACAUGCAAGUCGAACGAGUGGCGGACGGGUGAGUAAUGUCUGGGAAACUGCCUGAUGGAGGGGGAACAACACUGGAAACGGUCGCUAAUACCGCAUUCCCUAGGAUGUGCCCAGAUGGGAUUAGCGAGUGGGGGGGGUAACGGCUCACCUGGGCGACGAUCCCUAGCUGGUCGGAGAGGAUGACCAGCCACACUGGAACUGAGACAAGGUCCAGACUCCUACGGGAGGCAGCAGUGGGGAAUAUUGCACAAUGGGCGCAAGCCGGAUGCAGCCAUGCCGCUUGUAUGAAGAAGGCCGUCGGGUUGUAAAGUACUUUCAGCGGGGAGGCGUUACCCGCAGAAGAAGCACCGGCUAACUCCGUGCCAGCAGCCGCGGUAAUAC
rnacentral:rRNA from 1 species